GGUCUUCUAUGAAGGUCUGAUUGAAUUCUGCACUAAACUCAUCUGCACCUGGGCUCUUUUUGGUUGGGAGACUUUUAAUGACUGCAUCUAUUUCUUUAGGAGUUAUGGGGUUGUUUAGAUGAUUUAUUUGUUCCUGAUGUAACUUUGGUAUGAGGUAUCUAUCUAGAAAAUUGUCCAUUUCCUCCAGAUUUUCUAGUUUUGUUGAAUAUAGGCUUUUGUAGUGGGAUCUGAUGAUUUUUUGAAUUUCUUCAGAUUCUGUUGUUAUGUCUCCCUUUUCAUUUCUGAUUUUCUUAAUUUGGAUACAAUCUCUGUAACCUCUGGUUAGUCUGGCUAAGGGUUUAUAUGUCUUGUUGAUUUUCUCAAAGAACCACCUCCUGCUUUUGUUGAUUCUUCGUAUAGUACUUUUCAUUUCUACUUGGUUGAUUUCAGCUCAGAGUUUGGUUAUUUCCUGCCUUCUACUCCUCUUGGGUUUAUUUAUUUCAUUUUGUUCUAGAGCUUUAAGGUGUGCUGUCAAGCUGCUGACAUAUGCUCUUUCCUGUUUCUUUCUGCAGGCACUCAGAGCUAUGAGUUUUCCUCUUAGCACAGCUUUCAUUGUGUCCCAUAAGUUUGGGUAUGUUGUACCUUCAUUUUCAUUAAAUUCUAAAAAGUCUUUAAUUUCUUUCUUUAUUUCUUCCUUGACCAGGUUAUCAUUGAGUAGAGCAUUGUACAAUUUCCACGUAUAUGUGGGCGUUCUUCCCUUAUUGUUAUUGAAGACCAACUUUAGGCCUUGGUCUGAUAGCACGCAUGGGAUUAUUUCUAUCUCUCUGUACCUGUUGAGGCCCGUUUUUUGACCAAUUAUAUGGUCAAUUUUGGAGAAAGUACCAUGAGGAGCUGAGAAGAAGGUAUAUCCUUUUGCUUUAGGAUAGAAUGUUCUAUAAAUAUCUGUUAAGUCCAUUUGGCUCAUGACUUCUCUAAGUCUGUCUACAUCUCUGUUUAAUUUCUGUUUCCAUGAUCUGUCCAUUGAUUAGAGUGGGGUGUUGAAAUCUCCUACUAUUAUUGUGGGAGGUGCAAUGUGUGCUUUGAGCUUUAGUAAAGUUUCUUUUAUGAAUGUAGGUGCCCUUGCAUUUGGAGCAUAGAUAUUUAGGAUUAAGAAUUCAUCUUGGUGGAUUUUUCCUUUGAUGAAUGUGAAGUGUACUUCCUUAACUUUUUUAAUGACUCUUGAUUGAAAGUCAAUUUUAUUUGAUAUUAGAAUGGCAACUCCAGCUUUUUUCUUUUGGCCAUUUUCUUGGAAAAUUGUUUUCCAGCCAUUUACUCUGAGGUAGUGUCUGUCGUUGUUUCUGAGGUGUUUUUCCUGCAUGCAGCUAAAUGCUGGGUCCUCUUUACGUCUCCAGUCUGUUAGUCUAUGUCUUUUUAUUGGGGAAUUGAGUCCAUUAAUAUUGAGAGAUAUUAAGGUAUAGUGAUUGUUGCUUCUUGAUAUUUUCAUUCUUAAAGGUGGAAUUAUGUUUGCUUGUCUCUCUUUUGCUUUCAUUGCAAGGAAAUUAUUUUCUUGCUUUCUCUACGGUAUAGUUCUCUCCUUUUGUUGGAGUUUUCCAUCUAUUAUCCUUUGUAGGGCUGGAUUUGUAGAAAGAUAUUGUGUAAAUUUGGUUUUGUCAUGGAAUAUCUUGGUUUCUCCAUCUAUGUUAAUUGAAAGUUUUGCUGGAUACAGUAACUCAGGCUGGCAUUUGUGUUCUCUUAAGGUCUGUGUGACAUCUGUCCAUGAUCUUCUGGCUUUCACAGUCUCUGGUGAGAAGUCUGGUGUAAUUCUUAUAGGUCUGCCUUUAUAUGUCACUUGAUCUUUUUCCUUUACUUCUUUUAAUAUUCUGUCUUUGUUUUGUGCAUUUGCUGUUUUAGCUAUUAUGUGACAGGAGGAAUUUCUCUUCUGGUCCAAUCAAUUUGGAGGUCUAUAAGCUUCUUGAAUGUUUAUUGGCAUCUCUUUCUUUAGGUUAGAGAAGUUUUUUUCUAUAAUUUUGUUGAAUAUAUUUACUGGUCCAUUAAGUUGAGAGUCUUCACUUUCUCCUAUACCUAUUAUCCUUAGGUUUGAUCUUCUCAUUGUGUCCUGGAUUUCCUGUAUAUUUUCGGCAAGGGCUUUUUGCAUUUUUCAUUAUCUUUGACAGUUGAUUUUAUAUAUCUUCUUUGAGAAUUAAAACACAAAAUGGCUCAGCAGGUAAACAUGCAUGAUGCAAAUCCUGGCAAUUUUGAGUUCAAUUCCUGGGCCCCACAGGGUAGAAAGAGAGAACUUGUUCCCAAAAGUCCUCUGCCCUCCACCUCUGCAAUGCAGUAUGUAUAAGUCCAUGUACACAUUUGCAUACAUAUGUACACAAAACAAAUAACAAAAAUACAUUAAAUUUUUAGAAUAUUUAUUGCUAUUAUAAUGUGUGUAAACAUAACACAUGUGUUUGAACACACAUGCCAUGGUGCUUUUAUAGAGAUCAGAGAACAAUUUUUUUUAGAAUGAGUUUUUUCCUUCUACCAUUAUGGGGGCUUCAAGGAUUGAAUUCAGGUUGCCAGGCUUGCUUGACAAACGUCUUUAUCAUCUAAGUCAUCUCACGAGUCCCUGCAGAUUUAAUUAUGAUUUGAUUUCAAAUUAUUAAUAAUUCAAUUAACUUAGUACAUUUUCUAUAGAAUUGAGUUGUAGCACCUUUAUAUACUUUUCCUUAGUGUUUGUGUGUGUGUGUGUGUGUGUGUGUGUGUGUGUGUGUGUAGGGGCAUGCAUGUGUGUGGCUAUGAGGCUUGUGUAUAGAUGCCUAUGGAAGCUAGAAGGCAUUGGAUUAUCUGGAGAUGGGUUUACAGGUUGUUGUGUGUCAUGUGAUAUGGGUGCUAGGAACUGAUCAUGGGUCCCUUGAAGAGCAGCAAGUAUCUGGGCUGCUGAGCCAUCUAUCCAGGUCAAGUUGUAUAUCUUGAACAGAUAGAUGGUUUCAGAGGCAUGAAUGAACUUUGUGGUUGUUCAGUAAUGAUAUGCUCUGGAGGAACAUGCUCCUACAGAUUGAUAGCACUAACUCAGAACUUGAGCUCUCUAUUCUGUAAAGGGUUUGAGCUUUGUGUAGGAAAAGUACCAUUUGACCAUAGUAAGUACAAUUGAAGUGGCACAUGUGGACUAAUCAUUUGUGCUCACAAAGAACAACUUCAGGCUUUUAUUUGAGAAGUGUAAAAGUAGGUAAUAUAUUUUUUUUUCUUUUCUUUUUUUCGUAGCUGGGGACCGAACCCAGGGCCUUGCGCUUGCUAGGCAAGCGCUCUACCGCUGAGCUAAAUCCCCAACCCAAAGUAGGUAAUAUAUUUAACAACAAAUCAAACAAUCUCCCUCACACAACUGUUCGCUUACUUCUUCAGCAAAUCCACGAUAACUUAAUUUCUGUCCAUUAGUUUCUGUCUUUCCAGUCCAACCUUAGAUGUCUCAGGGCAGCUCUGUAGGUCCAAUCAUUUGGAUACUAUUGUAGAUUCUAAGGCUAGACAUUUUAGAGAAAUUUAAGAUAUGAUCUUACUUACUUUGCGUCGCUACUUUGUAUGGGUUGAUGGUUUUAGGUAGUGCCACUCUUUCACUUUUGUGUCUUCAGUAUAUAUAUUGACAUGCCAAUAAUUUCUUUCCAACUUAAUCGCCAUAACACAGGACAAUAAAACCUUACCUGAAUUCUUGUAGUUGCUCCUCAUGUCGCUUACAUUUGUCAUUUGUCUCCUGCCAUGCUUUUUCUCUGCACAGAAGCCAGUGUGGUCAUGAAAAGUUCAGCCAGAUUCUGCUAUUCCUCUGCCCUACUGAAGAAAGGGAAAUAAAGGUGAACCUUCCCUGGAGAUGAAAGCCUAUGUCAAGAUCUAGCUUCACCAGAAAGUGCUGGCAGGGAGUGCCCAAGAACUAAGGACAAAAGAAGCCAAGAAAGGAUCUAAAGGAAGAAGCAGGAAUCAUUCUCGAGCUAGUUUGGGGUCAGCCAUUUGCUGACCUGACAAGAUUUAAAAAGUUAAAAACUUUUAUGCUACCACUUUUGAUUGUCUUAAAAUAAAAUUAGAUGAAUAAA